UGUCGGUCCCCCCGCAACGAAUAGCUGUGAACCCCGUCAGGCCCGGAAGGGAGCAGCGGUAACAGUGAACACGUGUGCCGGGGUGUGGCUGGCAUCG
rnacentral:SRP_RNA from 1 species